ACUUGAUGACCAGAACUCGUUCAAGAGCUCUUUAGCCCUUCCAAAACAAGGAGCUCCAGGCCUAAUUUUUUUUGGAGUGUGAAGCCGUGAAGCCAAGUGUGAAGCAGUGAAGCCCUACUUAGCAAAGAGUUUUUGGUUCUGUAGUACACUGUAAAUUGUAAUAUUGUAACGUAUUGUAAAAGACUAAUGUAGUGUUAAUGAAUUAUAUCUGUCCUGUCCUAUUUGAAAUAAUGAUUAUGUAUGUUGAAAA